GGUAAUUACUUUCUCCGUUCCAUUUUAAGCGUAGUCAUGAGUUUUAUUUGAAAUUUUUUUUAUGAUUAGUUUUUUUAUUGUUAUUAGAUGAUAAAACAAAAUUAAUAUUUUAUAUGUGACUGAUGUUUUUUAUUUUUUUCAAACAAUUUUCAAACAACGCGUAUAAUUAAAGUUGAACACAGAAGCUCGUGACUGCGUUUAAA
rfam:Oryza barthii chromosome 1, whole genome shotgun sequence.